AGAAAUGGCAGUUUAUUAGAAGGAAUUAAUGAACUUCCUACUAGUUGGAUUUCCUUCAACUUAGAGGUUAAGGAUUUGAUUACUAUUCAGUCCCAGGAGAUGCCAAUCAGCAGUGAGUCCAUCAUCAUCAUUCCAGAUGGAACGAAUGAGGAAGUUAAGGCAUGUCUCUUGCAAGUCCAAAAACUGAGACAUUUACCAGUCCAGGUCACGGAGUCGUUUCUCGCCUAUGACAGCAACAUUCAUUGAAAAGGGAACACGGACUAUCGUACCAAAGUACAGACCGAGAAAAAAUGAAGAAAAAGAAAAGUGCCUGCCAUGUGCACACUGUUUGGCCGUUGUUGUAGCUACAGACUUAUGGAAGCACCAGAAGUCAUGUCCAGCAAACAAAUCUCAACAAAAUUUUAAAUAUCCUGUAUGUGAAGGACGUUUGCUGUUACCCUGUGACUCUGAAUUUUCAAAAAAACUACAUCAAAUUGUUUAAAAAUUUUCUUGCUAUC